rnacentral:ncRNA from 1 species
UAACAGGUGCCCUUCGGGGAGAAUAGGGAAUGAAGUGAAAAUCUUCAGCGGUCCCGCCACUGUAACGGGGAGUUUUACAGAUUUGCCACUGGAGAUUGGUCCGGGAAGGCCUGUAAAACGGUGAUCCGGAGCCAGGAGACCUGCCUGCUUA